rnacentral:rRNA from 1 species
AGACAGCAGUCGCCGCGGGAAUACGAAGGGGGCUAGCGUUGUUCGGAAUUACUGGGCGUAAAGCGCACGUAGGCGGACAUUUAAGUCAGGGGUGAAAUCCCGGGGCUCAACCCCGGAACUGCCUUUGAUACUGGGUGUCUAGAGUAUGGAAGAGGUGAGUGGAAUUCCGAGUGUAGAGGUGAAAUUCGUAGAUAUUCGGAGGAACACCAGUGGCGAAGGCGGCUCACUGGUCCAUUACUGACGCUGAGGUGCGAAAGCGUGGGGAGCAAACAGGAUUAGAUACCCCUGUAGUCCCUGUCUCUAUACA